rnacentral:piRNA from 1 species
UAGCAAACAUACAGCUUGGACACCAAAAU